UACAGAGGGUGCGAGCGUUAAUCGGAAUUACUGGGCGUAAAGCGCGCGUAGGCGGCUUUUCAAGUCGAUUGUGAAAGCCCCGGGCUCAACCUGGGAAUUGCAUUCGAGACUGAAUAGCUAGGGUACGGUAGAGGGAAGUGGAAUUUCCGGUGUAGCGGUGAAAUGCGUAGAUAUCGGAAGGAACAUCAGUGGCGAAAGCGACUUCCUGGACCAGUACCGACGUUCAGGCACGAAAGCGUGGGGAGCAAACAGG
rnacentral:rRNA from 1 species